CAGCAGCCGCGGUAAAACGAAGGGGGCUAGCGUUGUUCGGAUUUACUGGGCGUAAAGCGCACGUAGGCGGAUCGAUCAGUCAGGGGUGAAAUCCCAGAGCUCAACUCUGGAACUGCCUUUGAUACUGUCGAUCUGGAGUAUGGAAGGGGUGAGUGGAAUUCCGAGUGUAGAGGUGAAAUUCGUAGAUAUUCGGAGGAACACCAGUGGCGAAGGCGGCUCACUGGUCCAUUACUGACGCUGAGGUGCGAAGGCGUGGGGAGCAAACAGGAUUAGAUACCCCGGUAGUCCCUGUCUCUUAUAC
rnacentral:rRNA from 1 species